rnacentral:rRNA from 1 species
UACGAAGGGGGCAAGCGUUGUUCGGAAUGACUGGGCGUAAAGGGCGCGUAGGCGGCUCUUCAAGUCAGGCGUGAAAGCCCCGGGCUUAACUCGGGAACUGCGCUUGAUACUGUCGAGCUAGAGUGUGGAAGGGGCGAUUGGAAUUCCUGGUGUAGCGGUGGAAUGCGCAGAUAUCAGGAGGAACACCGGUGGCGAAGGCGGGAUCCUGGGCCAGUACUGACGCUGAGGAGCGAAAGCGUGGGGAGCAAACAGG